GGUUCAAGGUAUCCCGGUCACACUACUCGAUACAGCGGGCAUCAGAGAAACAGAUGCUAUUUUGUGGAGAAGAUAGGAAAAUGGUAUUCUUAACAGAGCCUGGCAUAGGUCUAAUGUACUUCCAUAUGAAAGCUUUGGCGGAAAGGCGUGUUUGACACGUCUAAGGAAAAAGUAUGCUGUGAAGUUAAACGAAGACGACGAGGAAGAACAAAAUGAAGAAGACAUAGAGAUAGAAUAGGAAAGCGAAGCCAACAGUAGCGGAAUUUAGAAGAUGCGUCGAAAACACACAAGAUCAUAGUGCUGUUUUCUUUUUUACUCUUUAUAACAAUUACAUUGGAGACUGUUUUAAAAUGCUUUGCCUAUUAGUUUGACUACAUCUUUCGUUUGCUGUAUUCAUAAUGUUACUUAAUGCCUCGCUAAAUUGUUU
rnacentral:lncRNA from 1 species